GAAUCAGUACGCUGGUCGUGCCUUCGGUAUGUACUGGUGUCACUGAUUCCUCCCUUCUGAAGAACCAUCAUGCCAUUCACUUGGUGUGGUGGGGAAUCAGGACUGUUACUUUGAAAAAAUUAGAGUGUUUAAAGCAGGCAUAAGCUUGAAUACGUUAGCAUGGAAUAAUAGAAUAGGACU
rnacentral:rRNA from 1 species